UACGGAGGGUGCAAGCGUUAAUCGGAAUUACUGGGCGUAAAGCGUGCGCAGGCGGUUCGGCUAAGACCGAUGUGAAAUCCCCGGGCUUAACCUGGGAACUGCAUUGGUGACUGGCGGGCUAGAGUAUGGCAGAGGGGGGUGGAAUUCCGCGUGUAGCAGUGAAAUGCGUAGAGAUGUGGAGGAACACCGAUGGCGAAGGCAGCCCCCUGGGUCAAGAUUGACGCUCAUGCACGAAAGCGUGGGGAGCAAACAGG
rnacentral:rRNA from 1 species